UUAUUAUUAUAAUUAUCCAUUUAUUUAAUUAAUUGUAACAAUUAAAGAAAUAAAAAAAUAAAAAUCAAUAAUAAUAAAAUAAAUAAAAUCAAGGGGUUUGAAAGCAAGGGUUUUAAUCGUAUUUGACAAUAUUAUUUAAUGAUUUUUUAAUAUUUAUUAUUAGUAGUAUUUAUUUAUUUAAUUAAUUGUAGUAAUUAAAGAAAUAAACAAAUAAGAUUAAUAAUAAUAAAAAUAAAUAAAAUCAAGUGUUUUUAAUUAUGAGAAAAUAUUAUUCAAUUAUUAUUUAUUUAUUCCUUAAUUAUUUUAUUAAUUUAAAAAUAAUUAACAAAAUAAAAAUAAAAAUAAAUAAAUAAAUAAAAUUAAUAAAAGAAAAGUGGGGUGAAAGUAGUAGUAAGAGAGAGAUGACAGCAAAAAAUUUUAAAAAAAAAAUAGAAAAAUGAUCCUAAAGCCUAACCAAAUUCCACUACCCACUCACAAAUAGCAUUGGUCAGCCAGCAUGUGACAGGUGACUUGCAUAAAAAUACAACAACAAAAAACAUCAAAAGAUGGAUUGAUCCAAGGGCUGAGUUUAUUCUGGGUUUGUUCAAGAAAACAAUAAUAUUCAUCUCUAUUUUAAACAUAAUUUGCUGAAUUUUUCAUGAAAUUGAGAAAAUGAAUAAUGAAAAUUCAUUUGUUCAAUCUCACGAAUAUCAUGGAAAACUUAAAAUUAAAAACUAAGUCAUAAGAAAAAUCACAAAUUAAAUCAUAUUUAACCGCUUUUGCUUAUGGAGGUUCAAGAAUACAUUAAACUCUUGAUUUUUAAUCAAUGGAUUUUCCAUGAAAAAUUGUGAUAAUUAAGAAAUUAAUUAAGUGCAGCAAGAAUAAUAGUGUAAAGAAAAUUAAAUAAACGAAAAUCAAUUCACAUUUAAUCAUUUUUGGUCAAUGGAGGUUCAAGAAUACUUUAAAACUCUUGGUUUUGAAUCAAUAGAGUUUUCAUGCAAAUUUGUGAUGAUUAAGAUACUAAUUAAGUAUAGCAAGAAUAAUAAUGCAAAGAAAAAUUAAAUAAAUAAUAAACAUUAAAAUCCUACCUAAAUAGAAAAAUAAAAAGUGACUUGAAAAUGGAGAGAAUUUGUGCAUACUUUUUGCUCUAUUUUUGUGAAUGAUUCUUGGUGUCAUUUGUGAAUGAAAUGAGAUUUCUUUAUAGGCUCUACAAAAGAUAGUUUAUGAAUUAUGCAAAGAGUGUGAGUGCCUUUUAGAAACUUAUUUAAUUAAAUAAUGAAUAAUUAUGUAAUAUAU
rnacentral:lncRNA from 1 species